rnacentral:tRNA from 1 species
AAAAUCCGUUGGCUUUAUUGACCGUGAGGGUUCAAGUCCCUCUCCCCCCA